ensembl:lncRNA
UCUCCUUGCUGUCCAAGGGACUCUCAAGAGUCUCCUCCAACCCCACAGUUCAAAAGCAUCAAUUCUUCAGCUCUCAGCUUUCUUUAUAGUCCAACUCUCACAUCCAUACAUGACUAUUGGAAAAACCAUAGCUUUGACUAGAUGGACCUUUGUUGGCAAAGUAAUGUCUCAGCUUUUUAAUAUGCUAUCUAGAUUGGUCAUAACUUUUCUUCCAAGGAGUAAGCACAAGGCUUUGGUUCUUGACAUUGGAUUCAUCCAAAAGGGGAAUACAUUCUGUUGGGAAGAUGUGCCUCUGCCUUCUCUCCCAAAAGGUGUCCCAACAGACUGGAUGUUGAUGAAUGAUGCAGGAUAAAUCAAUUCUUCCUUUUAAAGUCUCUCUAUCCCUAGAGGAGUUUCUAAAUAUACUACUAUAUUCCUCAGACUACCUCCUAUUGUUUUAAAGAUGUUAUAUGUAAUCCUCAUGUUUUUUUUAAAUAUUCAUAACUUGUUCUUAAAAAUAGAACAUAGCUAAAGUCAAGAGUUUGAUAUCACAGAAUUACAUAUAAUGUAAUGAAGGCGGCUGGUCUCCAUUUGUGAGUUGGGAGACUGAUCCUCUUUCCUGGUGGUCAUAUUCUCCUUGCUUCCUCUGGCUUCUCCAUUGGGGACUGUGCUAAGACUCCUUCACAUUGCCUUAGUGAAAACACAGUAAGAAUUACAUUGAGCAGGAAGCCCUUGAUAAAGUGAAGUCGAAGCAAUUUUUCUUUUAUAAAUGGUGUGAAAACUCACUACUCUAUUCUAUUUGAGUGAAAUAAUUAUACACUGGGUUUGAAGGAAGAGGCAGAUGGAGAAGAUAGGGGAGGUAGGAGGAAGUAGUGGGGGGAAACAGGAAGAGGAGAUGACUGCAGGAAUAGGACCUCUUUAAGGAAAGGUGUGAAGGCAUAGUUAUCUUCAGAACUUCCAGACCACACAAGUAUACUCACUCUUCUGGGGAUACUAGCCAGCUUUCUGAGCCCCUUUAGCCAUCCUUCUCUAGAAUUCACUGCAUUGUGGCUCUGGUUUUUUCCCUUACACUCUGAAAACAUGCUCAAAAAAAAAAAAAAAAAAAAACCAAACCCCUCAAGAUCAUCCAUUGUUGUUCGGUCCCUAAGUUGUGCCCAACUCUUUGCGACCCCAUGGACUGCAGCACGCCAGGCUUCCCUGUCCUUCACUAUCACCUGGAGUUUGCUCAUCCACACUAAUUCAUCCACACUAAGCCAUAAUUGAUUGGUGACAACUGAAGUAUUAGUACCAUCAAAAGAACACUUUCAGUAGGAAUUAAAACCUUAUGUUAGAGAGCUGAAGUGCCGAUCCUGAACUUAGUGUAUCCAUGAGCAAGUGGAAAAGAUAUUUUGGAUGUCAGUGGUCCUUUCCGUCAAUUCCUGAAGCUCCCCUUGUAUUCUGUAUAAAAGCUCAUCUAAGUUUCUCAGCUCUCUGUACAUAGAAUCUCUCUUCAGAAGGUGGCUGGCAUUCUAGGCAGAACUGUCACUUGUUUUUUUAGCACUUUUACUAGCACACAGCACACAUACCUCCAUGAAAUUAUCUACCCUAUCAUACUCUGAGUUCAUAUGUCUGUCUGCCCCACACCAGACUGUUAGCCCCUUAAGGGCAGAGACUGUGUUGGUCAACUUCAGAUUCCCAGCACUUUGUAUCAGACCUGCCUGAUCAUCCAUCCUUCCUAUAUGGCUGACUUGUGAGGAAUGAAAUAUGAGAGAAACAGCCUUGCAUGGGCAGUCUCACAUUUCAGUUCAGUUCAGUUCAGUCACUCAGGCAUGUCUGUCUUACAUUUAAGGAGAUGCAGUAACAGUACAGGAAGUUCUGACAAUACCUUGCUGGAUAUGGACAAAACCUUGACUUAAAGAUCAACAAUCAAGGCCAAGAUUGGUUAAUCUUUUCAUUAAAAAAUAAAUUUGCUAAUGGCAUACUUGUGAAUUUUAUU